GCCGCCAUCGUCUAACGGUUAGGACAUAUCCCUUUCACGGAUGUAAUCGGGGUUCGAUUCCCCGUGGUGGUACCA
rnacentral:tRNA from 1 species